ensembl:lncRNA
UAAUAACUCCUCACUGUGUCCUUGUCAAGAAGUUCAAGUCAAUAAGUACUUACAGAGUCUGAAAAAAACUAUGCUAAUCAGGGUCUGGCACAGAAAACACAUAAGCAACAGAGCUAUCCUUGGAGGGGCUUACAACAAAUAUAAACAAAUAAUCUGAUUAUAAAGCAAAGGUGAUCAGUACUUUAGGGAGGUAAACACCUUUGGAAAAAUAAGAAAGGGUAUUUCACAAGGGUUCAUAGGUCUUAAAAGAUGAGUACAAUUGGUUUAGGAGGCUGGGAAAGGAUAAAAACAAUGCAGAAAGGAGUAACAACACAAGCCAGAUAUGGAGGGGGAAAUAAAAUAUGUGACAUUUGUAGGGGCCUAGAAUACUUCAUUUCAUUUAGCUUAGGGUAAAAAUUAAUGAUAGGUAAGGCAAGAGAGGCAAACUAGGGCACAUCAAGGAAAGGUUCCACCACAGGGCUUUAUUGCAGAACCUUUUCCAUACAAGUGGAAGCCAGAGAAAGUUUUUGACAGGGGAAAGCAUGAGGUCUUGAGAGCCAGUGCCCUGAGUCACAGUUUGCUUCCUUCAUAUCUGAAGACGCAGACUCCAGCUGCAAGGGCUGCAGAGAAAGUAAUGUCAUCUCUUCCCCCAUCAGUCUUUCCAGGGUCCACAUUCCUGGCAAGAGGGUCUGAUUGGCCAAGCAGGCCAUGUGACUUCAUCCUGAUGCGAGAAGAAUGAGAGAGGAAACAUCUUUCCAUUCUGGAUUCUUUAGUGGGAGGCAGGGCCCUGACUACAACAAUUUGGGUGAGACAGCCACCCCCAGCGCCCAGGAGAAGGCUCUUGGGACACCAUAGCACCACUCCCAGCACAGAGAAGGUGAGCCACGCAGGUUCCAGCAACACACACACCCCCACUUUGAAAUGAGAAGACACAUAAACAAGCCACAGAACCAGACUUCUAGAUCACCUACAGCAACCUCAAAGGGAAAUGAGAUAGAACAAUCUGAUACUCAACCUCCUGAACUCCCUGAACUGGCAACGAAAGAGGACCUGGAAAAAAUGAAAUCAGAAAUAAUUUCUCACAUAACAGCAGAGAUUGUGCCCAUAGUGCAAGACAUGAUUAAUAAAUCUAGAGAGGACACAGAUAAAACAAUAGAGGAGCUGAGGAACAUGGUGGAAUCCUAAAGUAGGAAACAGAUGGAAUCCAUAAAAGAGAUACAAACAGAUUUCCAGGAGAUUAAAAACUCCAUUAAAAGCUUACGCAGCAGAAAGAGCAAAUAUGAGGACAGAAUUUUAGAUAUGGAAGAUAAGAUUGCAAUUAGUGACAAGGAAAAGAAAAAUGUCUUUAAAAUAGUAAGGAACCAUGAGAAAUCAAUCCAGCAGCUGCUAGAUGAUGCAAGGAAGAAUAGCAUAAGACUGAUUGGAGCCAACAAAGAAACAGGAGAGGGUGCAGAUGACAUAAAAAUCUUUUCACAGAAGUGAUGGCUGGAAACUUCCCAAGAAGGGGAAAAGAACUUGGCAUACAGAUAAGUGAGGCAUAUAGGGCUCCAACUAGCCUUGAUCAAAAAAAUCUACACAUAGGCAUAUAAUAGUUAAGAUUCCAGAAACCCAACAGAAGAACAAAAUUUUACAAGAGGUUAGAGAAAAGAAACAAAUCACCUACAAAGGAAAGCCCAUCAGAAUCACAGUAGACUUUUCAAUGCAAACCCUCAAGGCAAGAAGAGCUUGGAGUAAAGUAUUGCAAGCAUUAAAGGAAAACAGCCUCCAACCCAGAUUGAUGUACCCUGCAAAAUUAUCUUUCAAAAUUGAUGAAAAAAUAAAAUACUUUCAUGACAAAGAGCACCUUAGGAACUUCAUGAAUACCAAAUCAGCACUCGAAAAAAAUUUAGACAAUAUCCUAGGAAAAGACAACAAGGAUCACUACCUCAGGAAGCCCAGCAGAAUGAAUCCAUUGGGCAUGACAAGAAAUUAAAUGCAAAGUGGGAGAAUCCAACAAGAUGAGUCAGUACAUAUCAGUUAUAACCACCGAUGUUAAUGGUCUCAAUUCACCAAUCAAAAGAAAUAGACUGACAGAAUGGGUCAAGAAGCUAGAUCCAACAAUAUGCUGCAUAAUACAAGAAACACACUUAAUUCAAAAAGAAACUCACAGACUGAAAGUUAAAGGGUGGAAAACAAUACUCCAUGUGACAGGAACCUGAAAAAAAGCAGGAGUAGCUAUCCUCUUUGCAGAUCAAGUGGAUUUCAAACCAAAAUCUGAAACACUUCUGGUCCCAAGAAUUUCAGAUGAGGGAUAGUCAAUUUGUGUGUACAAAUCUAUUGUGAACAUGUAUUUUCAUUCCUCUCAAGUAAAAAUUUAAGAACAGAACUGUUGGUUCCUAACAGUAAUACAAGUAAUUUCUAUACUGUUUUCCAAAAUAGUUUUAUCAUUUUACAUUCACAUUAGCAGUAUUUGAAAGUUCUAACUGGCUCACACCUAAGCUGACAUCUGUUCUUUUAAAACUUCUAACUUCAUCUCCCUAAUGAGUGUAUAAUAUGAUCUUGUUGUACUGAUUAGUAUUUUUCUGAUUCUAGUGUUGCACAUCUUUCCUUAUGCUGUACUGGCUAUUUAUCAUCUUCUUGUAUCUACUUUUUAAUUGGGUUGUCCAUUAAUGAGCUGUAAAAGUUCUUUAUAUAUUCUGGCCAUAGGUUAUAUGUAUUACAAAUAUAGUCUAGGACUAUUUUUCAUUUUCUUAACAAUGUCAUUUAAAGUUCUAAAUUUUGAUGGAAUCUCAUUCAUCAGUUUUUUCUUUUAUAUAUGUUUUCUGUAUCCUAGGAAAUUCUUGCCUACUCUAAAUUCAUGAACAUUUUCCCUAAUAAUUUCUUCUUAAAGUUUUAUAGUUUUAGUUUUUCAUACUUAGGUUCAUAGAUCCUUUCAAGUUAUUUUUAUGUGUGGAAAUAAAGGGUUGAGGUUAAUUUUUUACAUACAGAUAACAGGUGCUCUAGUACCAUGUGCUGAAAACACUAUCUUUUCCUCUGCUUUUGAGUUGAAUUUAUAUUCUAUAAAAUGUUGAUGUUAAAUAAUCUUUCAAAACUCAGUGGACCAUAUAUGUGUGGUUCUAUUUCCAGAUUUUGUUUUAUUUCAAUGACCUAUAUGUCUUUCCUUACACCAACAUUGCCUUGAUUACUGUAUCUUUAGAGGAAGUCUUAAAAUUAGGUAAUAAGGGCUGGGGAUUUUGCUCAGUGGUUCUGCCACCUGCCUCGCAAGCUCAAGGUCCUGAGUUUGAUCCCUGGUACCAAAAUUUAAAAAAAAUAGCAAUAAAUGUCUUCCAACACUAUUUUUUUUUCUUUUUUCUUUUCUUUUUACUUUUCUAGGUCCUUUGUACUCCUACAUAACUUUUAAAUUUCAAUAUUCAAUUCUUCAUUUAUAGCAAGUAUACAUAGACCUAAAUUUUUAUAUAUACCUUGUGUUUUCUAAUCCUGCUAAAUUCAAUACUAGUUCUAGGGGCUCCUAGAGAUUUCUUAGUAUUUUCUCUGUAGAUGAUUAUUUCAUCUACGUAUAAAGAUUUUACUUAUACCUUGUGAAUCCUAUGCUAAUUAUUUCUUUUUAUUGCCAGACUAUUUUGGUUUGGACCUAUGUUUCAAAGUAUAAUGGACAGAUGAAGACUAGGCCUAUCUGCCCUUGUUCCCCACCUUAGGGAGAAAGCAUUGUAUCUUCUCCAUUCAUAUAAGGCGUGCUUGCUGGAAGUAUGGAGCACAUGUCUUUUAUCUAUUGAGAAGGUUCUGUUCUACUUCUAUACUGCUGAUAGCUUUUACCAUGAACAGCUGUAGAAUUAAAUCCAAUAGUUUUUCUCCAACUAGUGACAGGAUCAUAUGGCUUUUUCCUUUCCUCUGUGAAAAUGAUGACUUUUGAGGGUGGAUCUUCCAAUGCUGAACCAACACUGCCAUCCCUAUAAUAAAACCACUUUCUACAUACUGCCAGAUCUGACUUCUAAUAGUUUGUUUUGUUAAAUGAAUUUCAAUCUAUGUUCAUACUUUUUUUCUUCUAUUAUCUUUAUCCAGUUUUAACAUUAGCACAAUAUUGAUUUCCUAAAAUGAGGGGAGAAGUGUUCCUUUUUUUUUCUGCUUUAAAUGUUUGAUACAAUUUAUCAGUUAAAAUGUAUAGGAGCUUGCUGUUGUCAUAUAGGUAGGUUUUCAAGCUAGGAAUAUACUUUCUUUAAUAGGUGCUAUUCAAAUUUUUUAUUUCCUCCAGAGUCAGUUUCAUUAAUUUGUCUUCCAAGAUACUUCUUAGAAGUUGUCAAAUUUAUUUCAAAGAGGAUUUUUGUAAUAUGCUUUCUAUAUCCUUUUUAAUUCUGUAAAAUCUGUGGUAAUGUCCUCUAAAUUUUGAUAUUGUAAUUUUAAAAAUGCAAAACUGAUAUUGUGUAAUAGGAAGAAAAGGUCUAAAGGAGCAGGGAAAGUGGGAGGGGUAGGGGAAAGGAUAAAAGGGAAAAGAAAAAAUAUGAGAAAAGGAAAAAAAUGGAAACAAAGUCUUUGCAAAUAGAGA